AGAACAAAAUACCCUUUAUAAGGGCAUGGAGGAGAACAAAAUACCCUUUAUAAGGGUGUGGAGGAGAACAAAAUAUCCUUUAAAGGGAACUAAAGAGAAAGCCGAAAGAGUACAUCUGGGUCGUUGCAUUAUACCUUUAGAAUCCUGCCAUUGCUAUGCUUCUGUAAUAGUAAACACUCAAAUUUUGUGUUGAUGUAGGUGUUGCCCGGGUCAUUGGAAAGCCCUUACAAAUGUGAGGCUCAAGGAAGUCGCUUUCAACAUUCUUCCAUCAUCUUCGGCGUCUAGCUUAGCUAGUUGGUAGAUAUUAUUGUUGAUUCCAAUCCCCUGUUCACCGGCGUCAUUGCCUCCUUUUCUGGUAAAUAUUACAUACUUUUUCUGUCACUGAAUCAACACCAAAACUCACAGCUCA